AUUGAACGCUGGCGGCAGGCCUAACACAUGCAAGUCGAACGGUAACAGGAAGAAGCUUGCUUCUUUGCUGACGAGUGGCGGACGGGUGAGGAAUGUCUGGGAAACUGCCUGAUGGAGGGGGAUAACUACUGGAAACGGUAGCUAAUACCGCAUAACGUCGCAAGACCAAAGAGGGGGACCUUCGGGCCUCUUGCCAUCGGAUGUGCCCAGAUGGGAUUAGCUAGUAGGUGGGGUAACGGCUCACCUAGGCGACGAUCCCUAGCUGGUCUGAGAGGAUGACCAGCCACACUGGAACUGAGCCACGGUCCAGACUCCUACGGGAGGCAGCAGUGGGGAAUAUUGCACAAUGGGCGCAAGCCUGAUGCAGCCAUGCCGCGUGUAUGAAGAAGGCCUUCGGGUUGUAAAGUACUUUCAGCGGGGAGGAAGGGAGUAAAGUUAAUACCUUUGCUCAUUGACGUUACCCGCAGAAGAAGCACCGGCUAACUCCGUG
rnacentral:rRNA from 1 species